rnacentral:lncRNA from 1 species
CUUUUAUUUGUCCUCGAUAUUAUUUUCAAAAUGCAGAUUUGGACCUUAGGAAUGGAAAGAAAACUAUAGUCAUUUUUAGAUUUUGUGAAAAGAUGUCUGCUCAUGGGUUUGCAAAGAUAAUAGAUGUUGAUUUAGGUGAGAUAACAAUUGGCAUAUUAAUUUAAAAUCUUGUUCUUAAUCUCAUUUGUUUAGGAAAAUUUGCAAAUUUUGUCUGGUUUAUGAUAACUACAAUCUUCUUGACAUGUCUGAUAAUUAAUCUGUUCCCAAAAGUUUUGGUAAUCAUUAAACUGAUCCAAUAUACAGGGUGUCUUGGAAAAAGGAAUAAAUUGCGCAUUUUCAAAGAUAAAAUGAUGGGUUUUUGAAAAGAUAUGACAAAUGAUGUUUGAGUUUUUUUAAAUCUAAGGAAAAGGGACCUAGUACAUUGCAAGGUACAGUUUGGCAUUUUGGAUCAAAAUGUUUUAUCAACAACCGCUAAUUUAUGGACAUAUUAUCUGGUAGAAACACUUGUAAAUACAACAAAAUGACGCUUAGUGGGUGAAAACGCUAUUGAAAAUAUUCGGAACAGGGAAAAAGAACAUUUUCGAAUAUUAAGCAUACUUUAGAAGGAUAAAACGACAUUUUAGAGCAACACGUUUCUUUUCGUUUCAGAGCAUUAUACCAACUAGAGGCAUUUGUAAGUUCAAAAAAUGAUGUUCAAUAGGCGAAAAAGCUUAAACUCAAUUUUUUCAGAGAAACCCUGUAUAUUAUCUAAAUGUUCUAUUGAAAGUUGAUAUCACAAAGUAUAAAAAAGCCUGCAUGAUUGACUAAAAUUAAAGAAUGUUGUGUUACUAGUUAUUUGUAAGACAAGAAUCCCAGACAAGUCUAACUACUCAAGAGAAGAUCGAUGAAGGAAAGGGAUACAAGUUUCCAGUGGUGAUGAUUUGUGACCCUGCUCCAUGGAACAUAAAAAGGAAAUAUUCCUCUCCAAUUUAAUAUUGAUUUAUCUUUAGGAAAAUGUAUACCAUUUCUAUUUUUCUAGCAGUGAAAAUCCCUAUUUGGAAUAUGCCUCUCCUUCUGGGCUAAAUUAUAAAAGGAUUGAAUAUUUAAGAUCUAAAGCAAGUGGAAUUGAAAAAGAAUUGCUCUCUUUCAUAUCUUAUUUGUUAUACUUUUUAUCAACCACACAAAGCAUAAGCAACCAAAAACUUAACAAACUUAAAGGGGAGUACCAAGAAAAAUUGUCUGAAUUUAAUAACAGCUCAUUAGAUUUACUUGAUCGUAUUACAAACAACUGCUCUGAAACAAUAAAAAGUUGUGAAUUUAGUUUUGGACAAACGGUAUAAACAAUUUUUUUCAAACAGCAAGUGCUUCAUAACAAGUUUAAAUUUAAGGUUGGCGGUGAACAAUGUUGCCAGGAUUACUUAGAAACACGGUAAAUACACCAAUUUCCAAUAAGGGAUCAAAAUAAUAAUAAAAUAUUUUGUUUAGGGUCUAUGUCCUGGGUGCUAAGUGCUUUAGGGAAUAAAUUAUAAGUAUUGCUAAAAUGGUCCUAUGUACAAAAUUUUCUUAUGCAAUGAAUACAUUCAUUUAGUUUUAAUAUUUCUUAAAUUCUUAGCAGAAGCUUCCAACAUGGAAUAUCAAAAAUAGCAAUUUGCUUCUAAUUUUCACAUAACCUACCCAAUUAAUAUAUCUCUGUCUAUGCAUUCUAUAAUUAGUAAAUUUACUUCUAGAACCAAAAAAGAAUUUUAUGGAUCUAACUUUGGAUUAAGAAAUGGCAUCAACUUCAGAUUAGAGAUUAGCACAGAUGGUGGACAAGUCCUAGAUAAAAACAUUGCUAGUACUGAAGCUUACAAUGCAUUUGGUUCUCAAAUGUCUGUAUUCAACUCCAGAGCAGUGCCAGAGUAUGCAUUUGAAAAACAAAUAACUGCUCUAGGACUCAACACAACAAACAAUCAAGCUAUAACCAAAACAGUGCUAAACAGGACAGAAGAAUUUCUCUUCCUUGGAUUCCUUAAAAAUGGGAACUGUACCAAUUUCAGGCCAUUUUUGCAAAAAGCGAUACAUAAAAUUUUCUAGAAAAGCUCUAAAUUCAAGAAAAGAAUAAAAUGUGUACUAAAAUAAAGAUUUUCGGUUGAAGACACUAGGUAACUUUAAGAAGGAAUGAACACUAAACCCUUAAGUAAUGCCUGAUUAUCUGUACAAAAGAGUGUGUGUGUACUGUAGGUACAAAAGAGGAAAAUUAAAUCUAGAUAUUUGUGCUUUUCAGUCCAGGAAGAUACUGGCCAUGUUUAUUGUAAGUUUAAGGAAGGUUUUUCUAAGAUUAUAUUUACCCUACGUAUAACCCCACUUAAGAGUAUGCUACACCUGUUUGGAACCCUUGGAGUAUAGGGGACUGUGAAAGCCUUGAAAAAGUUCAAAAAACGCAAUUAAUAUGAUCUCAGGAUUGUCAGGAACCACAUAUAAGGAUAAGCUUCUUGAACUAGGCAUCCAAUCCUUAUCUGAUAGAAGAUUAUGUUUCAAUUUAAUUCAGACUUACAAGAUUAUCCAUGGAAAAGAAAAUGUAAAGCUAAACACCUGGCUCCAGUUGGUUGACCCAAUAAUAACCAUCACAACCAGACAAUCAGUAUUUUACCUAAAUAUCCAACCAAAAAGAUCCAACUUAGAAAUAAGGAACAAAUUCUUCAGUAACUGUGUAGUCGAAACCUGGAACAAGCUACCAAAUAACAUCAAAGAUGCUCCACACCAGAAGCUUUUCAUCAAAUCUCUUUAUGACAAAACCUAGAUGGAGAUGUAGAAAAUUAUAAAUCAGAGAACUCCGCUAAACUUCUACUUGAAGUACCCUGGAGUCACAAACACAAACUUAUAUUCAAGUACAUCGGCUAAGUGCAUUGUUAAGGAUUUGAAAAAAAUAUAGAAUAAAGUCGCUGGUUUUUUUUCAGUGGGACCAGUAUCAUUUACCUUCCCUUAAAUCUUAUUCCCUGACUAUUAAAAGAGUAACAGCCAUUUUGCCAUAUUACAAAGUAUCUAGAGAGGAUGAAUGUAACUGGAAUACACUGAAAAGAAACACUGCCUCAAUUUACAACUGCACAACAAACUUGUUAGAGGGUACUUGCUCCCCAGAGGAGAUUAUCAAAGGAGCUAAACUUAUUUUCUCAAGGAAAGAUGAACAAAGGCUUAUUCUAUAAAAUAAAGCUCUUUGCUCAAAUACAUAUAUUUGUAUAUAUUUUGUAUAUAUAUAUGUUAGCUAAAGCUGGCCAAAUGACUGGACCGACUUGGCUGAUUUUUUUUAGAAAACCCACGGAUACCCUUGGGGCAACAUAGGCUAAAUAAUCGAAUUUUUUUCGUCAAAAAUCUAUUUUUAUAAAUCAAUUUUUUAAAUUCCACAGGCCUCCAGCUAGUUUUACAUUGAUUGGUCAACACCUUUAGCAGGAUAAACACACUUAAAGGGACUUUGACAAAAACAAAACUAAAAAUCACAUAAAUUAUCUUUACAGCUCACAAAAUGUUCUAUAAAUUUGGAUCAGAUUGAAAUUAUCCCAAGUUCAUCAAUCCAAAGCACAAACAUUUCCUGGGAUUACUGUAAUUACGACUGUGUACAAAUUGGUUACCAAAUUGAAAGCAACCAAGUUCUAAUGACUCCAGAAUAUGUUGAAAAGGUCUACAAUCCAGCGGAAGGAAAAAGUAUCAUUGUUUUGAACUUGUACUAUUCAGAGAGCUUAUACAAAAAGAUUGAUGUAAAGGGAAAGGGAUUGGGAGAUUUAAUGUCAGAAAUAGGAGGGAGUCUAGGUAUAUUUCUAGGAGCUUCUCUUAUCACAGUUGUGGAGUUUAUAACCUUUUCUUUUUAUGCUUGUUCAGUUCUUUUCAAACUUAUGAAGUAUAGCAUGCAGAAUUAACUUGUUUGUUUUUCAAUUUAUUUUUAAGAUCACAGUCUCCUUCACAUUUGUAAUGUGAUUAUCAAAAACAUAAUUGUCAAAUCUUGAUGUGCAAAUAUAUAUCCUUAAAUGUG